AUACGGAGGGUGCAAGCGUUAAUCGGAAUUACUGGGCGUAAAGCGCGCGUAGGCGGCUUGAUAAGUCGGAUGUGAAAUCCCCGGGCUUAACCUGGGAAUUGCAUUCGAUACUGUCAGGCUAGAGUGUGGUAGAGGGAAGUGGAAUUUCCGGUGUAGCGGUGUAAUGCGUAGAUAUCGGAAAGAACAUUAGUGGCGAAGGCGGCUUCCUGGAUCAACACUGACGCUGAGGUGCGAAAGCGUGGGGAGCAAACAGGAUUAGAUACCCCAGUAGUCC
rnacentral:rRNA from 1 species